CGCUCGCGGCCCGUUACCUCAGUCGCUGACCGUUCAAACCGGCCCCGCCCGCCUCGCCCGGGAUCUGACGUUGCGCGCACACCGGCGCGCUGGCGUCACUUCAAGGCGCGUGGAAGGGGAGGGGGGGACGUUGCCGCCGAGAGCCUUCCGCAGGAGCCGCCGGGAGAGGAGUGGGCGGGGCCUGCAGGCCUCAUGUCCUGACACUGGGGAUGGGCGGGGCCUUGGAGCAACCAGGGGUGCCCGGCUUGGCAGGAGGCCCCGCCCACUCCUGGGCCGGGCUUUGUGGCUCGCCUCGUCCGUUCGGCCUCCGUCCAGGGGUGGUGCACGUGGUGGCUACUCUGCGCCGGGUCGCAGCCAUGUCAGUUCAUUCCCGUGAAUACGUGUUACAUAGCUCAUCAGCUGCAUAAUAAGGGAUCUAGAGGAGCUCCUCGCUCUAAAUAUAGAAGCUGCAACUCAGUUGCUGAUUGGCCCUGUUUCAGGAGCAAGAACUCUGUUCCACUGUGGAGAAUGAACCUAUCAGAUAUAUGAAGACGAACAGAAAAAACAGGCAGCCUGAAUUUGCUUGUAGAACUGAAGAUGGCAGGUCUGCUACUCAGUCUGGAAAGCAGAAGGCACGUAGGGCUGAUUCCCUUUUCUGAAUGAGAUGCAUUCACAUUUCUGCCCCAGCCACCUGUUCUCCAAGGACAAUCCUUGGGCCCACUGGAUUCCAGGAGGCUCCCAUUCAUUCCUCCAUUGCAACACAUCAAGGGAGCCAUGAACAUAAGAGCGGGGGUGGUUUUUGGUCUAGAUAUUUCAAAGAAGCCAAACCAGCAAAUAUAUAAGGCACCUUCAGUUACUACAACACUGUCUGCCAAUGGACCCAACUACUCAUCUGUAGCAGUGCAAUAAAGCACUCAUCAUGCAAACACAGAUGGGGACUUUUGUGGCUUCCUGAAUUUAGGACUGUGGCCCUCAGUGUCUUCUGGGGCAUCUCUCUUCUAGGUUAUCGGCAUUCGUUCACAGAUAAGAACUCACUGACUCCAGUUCAUCCCUGAGUCUCCUAAAACAGAGGUUCUCAAAAUGUCUUCCUCUGGAGUAAGACCACUUCUGUUAGUAGAACUACUCUGGAAUCAGAGGUUUUGAGAAAUGCAAUGGUGGCACUGAUGAGAGAGGUGAUGCCCGAGUCAAGCAAAAGAUUAAGAGGAAGAGGCGAUGGUGGGGUGGGGGAGGAAAGAUGACAAACCUUCCACCAGUAGUGGCUUGUUCUAACCAGCCAGGAGAUGACAAACAAGAUGCGGCUUCCCCUGUUUCCCAGCAGCUCAACUGCGUCGGUUUCUCCCAUCCCGCCCUGCCCCCCGAGAGCCGCACUGCCUGCAGGCUGGCCAUUCAUCAAGUAGAGCUGUGCGGGCUACAGGCACAAUCGGGUUCCUAGGAAGCAGAAGCACCUAUGCUUCCUUUGACACUCCCCUGGCUCAUCAGGACAAGCCACUGCUGCCUUGCACAUCUUGGUUUGUCUCCGCUCUGUUGAAUUCUCAUAGAUUCCCAAGCAGAUGCUUUUCUGAGCUGGGGCUGCUGUUCCCCACAAAAAUCCCAAGUAGCAGGGAAGCAAUGACUGCAGGGGGGAAUUCGGAACAAACAUAAACUCUCUAAAGUCCUGGGUGGUGCAGUAUCCCCACUACUUAAAUUUAAAUCGCAUGGGUGGCAUGCAUCCUCUGUGACAGAGAGAGAGAGAGAGACAGAUAUGGCUGAAUGACAACACAGGGGUCUGCCCAACCAAACCUACAAAAACAAAGAUGUCCUUUAUUCCCUUAUAGAUGAAUCCUCUUUGCACAAGUCUUGUCAUUUCCAUAGCAAAGACUGUAGCAGAAGGUAACAGCAGUUGAAAAAAAAAAUUCAGCUAACAUUAUGAAUGAAAAUAGCAGCAUCAAAAUGGAUCCAACCUGAAGACUCUCUGCAUGAAAGUCCAUGUGGAGCAAGGCAACAGUCAGUAACGUGUCCUGUAGGCGGAGACUUCUCAGGCCGCUUUCCAGUGGCUUCUCUGGCAAGAGGACUGUGCAAUCUGUAGGAGUCCUCAGAGAAAAAGAAAGUCUUCCUUGCCUGUUUGCAGCAUAAAUGGUAGUAGAGUUCCUUUUUGGCAAAUGUAUCAUUUCCCUUUGCUCGACCCUGAAGGCUAAGAAUCGAACCAGAAUCGAACUUCUCCAUCCAGACUCCUUUGAAACAAGUAGAUCUUGUGCAAAAUGUGACAAAAGAUCUUCCCCAGCUAUUUCUGACCUCAGUAUAUAUGCAACAAGUCUCCAAGUGGAUUAUACAUUAAGUUUCUCUUCUGCAAUAUACUCUUAAAAUAAUUGUGUUCACUUCUCUUUUUUUGGUUUAGUCUAAUUCAGGGGUCUCAAAGGUGUGCCCCCAGAUCUUGCUGGAUUGCAGCUCCCAUCAUCCCCCAGGAACAAUGGUCUUCAGCGGGGGAUGAUGGGUGUUAUAGUCCAACAGCAUCUGGGCAUCCAAGUCUGAGAACCCCUGGUGUCAUUAAAAAGGAUGCCAGGGUGCACAUUGCAGGGCUCCCCACCCCGCUUUUAACUAGUGUGAUUAUCUCACAAUUCUGUUUCAGCAAAUUCCAUACUAGGAAUUUCCAUAUUAUCAUAUGUUGUGGGGGGAAGGGGCGUCUCAUUCCCCCGCCCCCCGCAAGUUUUUUUGAAAUAAAAAAAGUGUUAACAUUUUUUUAAAGGAGAUGUAAGAGAUGCUUCUCCACUUGUGAUUGUUCCAGCAUGUAAAGUGUACGAAGCCCAACAAGGUUGGCUCAUUGCUACUGUUUUGGUUUCUUGGUCCUCAAGAGAUUCUUUUGCUCCUCUCUAUUUCAAGUUUGGGUUGUCUUUUUUCAUCCAGCCUGUCAGAAAACCAUCCUUCAGUCAGGCAGCAACUGAAGGGCACUCUAUGCAAAUAUGGAAUGCUCGAUUCAGGGUGUUCCAGGGCUCCCUCCAACACACAGUGUUUUGCACGAGAGGUAAGCGGGGUGGUGGGGGUAUGUCUUUUGGCCCUUUAGGAAAGUCACUGCUGAUUAAAAAGAAGCUCCCCCUACGGUCUCCUCAUAAAGUUGCUCUUUCCUUCCAGUGCCCAUGGGGAGAACACUUGAAAGAGGGCAAAAUUGCUGGCUCAUGUUGUCCUUCCCUCUCAGGGCAUCUCCAGCAGAGGAGACCUGGGCACCCCACCUGGCUAGUCGCAGGCAAAAUAAUCCUUGAGUGGGGCAAAGAUGUGGCGGAUGACAGGGACGCUCCAUGACCUGCCCAGCAGCUUCUGACGAGCUCCCCGGCCCAUAUUGGAUAAAUCGGUAUAGUGGAGAGGGAAACCAAAGAUCCUGGAAGGAGCAGCAGAGACAGAACCAUGAGCACAGGGUGUUCAAGCCACUCCCUUUUCCUUUGGGUGCCGGUAAGAUACUAGGACUCCCCGGCUGACCACAGGCCCCCCUACCUCCCUGCACAAGGAGCCAAAGGCCAAGGACUGCUUAGCAUGUUCUGUAGGAGAGGAGAGCGAGGAAGCAGGAGCUGAAGCACCCCACUUGGGCGGCAGGCAAAAACUGCAGCUAAGCUGCGCGACAGAAUUGCUGUGGAAGCCCCCUCGCCCCAUUUGGUUCACUCAAGCAGUCUUCUGGAGGAGAGCUGGUCUUGUGGUAGCAAGCAUGGCUUGCCCCCUUUGCUAAGCAGGGUCUGUCCUGGUUUGCAUUUGGAUGGGAGACUGCAUAUGCGAGCACUGUAAAGGAUUGCCCUUAGGGAAUACUUAGGCCACUCUCCAUACUUGCCUCUCCAAGUCAGGACUGAGAGGGACUCCUGCCUGCAACCUUGAAGAAGCCACUUCCAGUCUGUGUAGACAAUACUGAGCUAGAUGGACCAAGGGUCUGACUCGGUAGGAGGCAGCUUCCUAUGUUCCUAAGGGGUUGUAGCUCAGUGAUAGAGUAUCUGCUUUGCAUACAAAAGGUCUUCUCAUCUGCAGAACCCAGUAACUGCAUUAUACGGUGGCUACAGAUGACAGGGGAAGGACCUGAGUGGCAAUGCUUUUUGGUGGGAUGUUAUUGGCAAAAUCUCCACAAGGUGAUUUCCCUCCCACAUGGUGAAAUGAUCUUUUGAAAGUGCCCCCAUAAAGGUACAACCUGCCUUUUGCUAUGCCUUGAAAAAUACUAGGGAAAACGUAUUAAGGCAACCAGUUUUGAGAUAGGACAGGCACCAAGAAAUGAGUUUUACCCUCUUGAUGAAGCAUGUAGUCACCCGUCCAAAUGCAAACCAAGGCAAACCCUGCUCAGCAAAGGGGACAAUUCAUGCUCACUACCACAAGACCGUCACCUUAAGUGGCGCAGCGGGGAAAUGCUUGACUAACAAGCAGAAGGUUGCCGGUUCAAAUCCCUGCUGGUGCUAUAUCAGGCAGCAGUGAUAUAGGAAGAUGCUGAAAGGCAUUGUCUCAUACUGCAUGGGAGGAGGCAAUGGUAAACCCCUCCUGUAUUCUACCAAAGACAACCACAGGGCUCUGUGGGUGCCAGGAGUUGACACUGACUCAACGGCACACUUUGCUUACCACAAGACCAGCUCUCCUCCCCAUAUCAAGUAUUACCAGAUCAACUAUUUUUCACUAAUUAGCACAUCACAUAUUUUUCUGACAUGCUGCCAGGGUCCUGGCCCCCUGACUGCAUCCCCACCACCGCAGACCAGUAGGGAUCCAACCAACUCACCUACGGCACAGCUGUAAGAAGAGGAGCCCAAUGGCCCCACCCCAUCCACACAGGAUGCCCUGCCAAUAAAGCUAGAUGAUGCAUCAGUAUUCCAGUGUGUGCCCAACUGGGUGAGACCAGUUGUCAGGGCAAGAUGUAAGGCUGCAAUGAGGCAGACAGCACAGGCGUCUGCUCAGGAGAGCUGGAUCUGGAUGAGCUCUCAUGAGGCUGAAGGCCUGAAGCUCUUGCAGAGGCCAAAGAUGAAUAGUGAGGAGGAGAAGGGGACAGCAGGCAGCUCUGCCCCUGGAAUAGCAGCCAGCCAAAAGGAGGCAGCACAAGGAAAAGGGGUCCUUGGAACACGGCUGCUGCCCCCCCGCCCCAGGUAUCCAGGGGGGAAACACAGGGGCUUUCUCACACGUAGUAAUUAGAAAUCUCUUUCCCCACAAAAUUAAUUCAGAAAUGUCAUAUCAGAGCUUUUCUACCUCAAACAUUUUAAAUUUUUUAGUUGAUUUUAAAUGUUCGGUUGUUAUUUUAAUGGAUGAUUGUUAUUUCCCAUUUGUCAUUUAAGAAGCUCCAGAAAACCUAUCUAU